rnacentral:tRNA from 4 species
GGCAUCGUAUAAUGGCUAUUACCUCAGCCUUCCAAGCUGAUGAUGCGGGUUCGAUUCCUGAAGUGGCA